rnacentral:rRNA from 1 species
CGCAGCCGCGGUAAUUCCAGCUCCAAUAGCGUAUAUUAAAGUUGUUGCAGUUAAAAAGCUCGUAGUUGAAUUUCGAGAUCAAAUUGUUGGUCGUGCCUCGGUACGCACUGGCAUUAUUGGUUUCUCCCUUCUGAAGAACCUUGAUGUCAUUAAUUUGGUGUCUUGGGGAAUCAGGACCGUUACUUUGAAAAAAUUAGAGUGUUUAAAGCAGGCUCACGCUUGAAUACAUUAGCAUGGAAUAAUGAAAUAGGACGUUUGAUUCUAUUUUGUUGGUUUCUAGGAUCGACGUAAUGAUUAAUAGGGAUAGUUGGGGGCAUUAGUAUUCAAUUGUCAGAGGUGAAAUUCUUGGAUUUAUUGAAGACUAACUACUGCGAAAGCAUUUGCCAAGGAUGUUUUCAUUAAUCAAGAACGAAAGUUAGGGGAUCGAAGACGAUCAGAUACCGUCGUAGUCUUAACCAUAAACUAUGCCGACUAGGGAUCGGAUGAUGUUAAUUUUUAAUGACUCAUUCGGCGCCUUAAC